rnacentral:rRNA from 1 species
AUUGAACGCUGGCGGCAGGCUUAACACAUGCAAGUCGAGCGGGGAAGGGUAGCUUGCUACCUAACCUAGCGGCGGACGGGUGAGUAAUGCUUAGGAAUCUGCCAUUUAGUGGGGGACAACAUUCCGAAAGGAAUGCUAAUACCGCAUACGUCCUACGGGAGAAAGCAGGGGAUCUUCGGACCUUGCGCUAAAUGAUGAGCCUAAGUCGGAUUAGCUAGUUGGUGGGGUAAAGGCCUACCAAGGCGACGAUCUGUAGCGGGUCUGAGAGGAUGAUCCGCCACACUGGGACGGGGACACGGCCCAGACUCCUACGGGAGGCAGCAGUGGGGAAUAUUGGACAAUGGGCGGAAGCCUGAUCCAGCCAUGCCGCGUGUGUGAAGAAGGCCUUAUGGUUGUAAAGCACUUUAAGCGAGGAGGAGGCUACUAGUAUUAAUACUACUGGAUAGUGGACGUUACUCGCAGAAUAAGCACCGGCUAACUCUGUGCCAGCAGCCGCGGUAA